rnacentral:rRNA from 1 species
AGAGUUUGAUCCUGGCUCAGAUUGAACGCUGGCGGAAUGCUUUACACAUGCAAGUCGAACGGCAGCACGGGAGCUUGCUCCUGGUGGCGAGUGGCGAACGGGUGAGUAAUAUAUCGGAACAUAUCCUAUCGUGGGGGAUAACUAGUCGAAAGACUAGCUAAUACCGCAUACGUCCUGAGGGAGAAAGCGGGGGCUCGCAAGACCUCGCGCGAUUGGAGUGGCCGAUAUCUGAUUAGCUAGAUGGUGAGGUAAAGGCUCACCAUGGCUUCGAUCAGUAGCUGGUCUGAGAGGAUGAUCAGCCACACUGGGACUGAGACACGGCCCAGACUCCUACGGGGGGCAGCAGUGGGGAAUUUUGGACAAUGGGCGAAAGCCUGAUCCAGCCAUUCCGCGUGAGUGAAGAAGGCCUUCGGGUUGUAAAGCUCUUUCGGCAGGAACGAAACGGCGGAUAUUAAUACUAUCCGUUACUGACGGUACCUGAAGAAGAAGCACCGGCUAACUACGUGCCAGCAGCCGCGGUAAUAC